GAUGUUGGAAAGAAUGAUUUCACAAGCUUUUCCCCUGUCCACUCCUUGCAGUGUCUUUCUCUUGAGUCUUGGUUCAUUGCUUGGAAUAAUAAGCCUGACUGUAUUAUAUCCAACGGAAACUCCCAUCAGAAGCAGGGGGCCCAACCCAGGUUGUAACAGAAAAACACAGGCUCUGGUUAACAUAGUUUCCGUACAGAGCAUAGAAACAGGUUAAUGCCAGAGCCGGUGGUGGGAGCUGCUUGAGCAUGGCUGGGUGAACCAUGUACCAGGACACUCGUGUGCCCAGACGCUUGUCCCAUGUCUCCUGACUGUUCCUGUGGCCCCUCAGAUAAGGAGGCUGAAGAAUAAUAGCAUUUCCAUCUUAUAACAUGGGGGCACCCAGGCCACCUCCCUGGGUUUGAAUCCAAGCUCCACGACUUGCCUGCGGGGACACUUUUGGGCAAUAUCUGGAGUUUUCUGUGCUUCCAGGGAUCUGAUCUAAAGGGAAAGCAGCACGCAUUCCCUCACAGCUUGAGAUAGGGAUGGACUUGCUUUGAAUUAAUAAAUCUCAGCUGUGAAAAUAGUAAAGCAAGAGAAAAAAAACCCAAAUAAACAAGUAGGUGAAGAAGAAUUUCAAAGGGCUGCUGGUGCCGUCAGGUUCAUGGUAGGGACAGGACGGUAACCUGAACCCAAGACCCUUUGACCACGGCCAUGGGAAUCCACGCUGCCCACACCUCACUGAGGACUGUGAUAUGUAGAAGAAUGAAAUGCAGGACAGCCAGAGAGACCUCAGCAUUGGGGCUGGCUUUCAUAUGACUCAAGUCAGGCUGCUGCGGACAGGACAGGUAAGGCUAGGGAAACAUGGCCAGUGGGAAGCAGCCUGGGUGGUUCUGGAAAUCAAGUCUCGGCAUAGCCCUUUCAUAGUCAGUGAAGGCUCAUCUUUGACCCCUGGAUGUGUCUGCCCUGGCCUCUUGGAACUCCUUUGAUGCUCAUCAGUGCCGUGUUGCGGUUAAAUCAUCCUUAGUCUCCAAAUCUGCACAGUUAAAGAAUCCAUUGUUUAUAAUAUGAUGCUAUUGUUAUUAAUUAUUAUUAUUAUUUACUUAUGACUAGGGGGUUGCUUAUUUGGCUCGGUGUGUUCUGGGGACCACAGCCCGAGUGAUGCUGCCCCUAAUUGGCUGCACACGUGUGGGGAUGGGUUGACUCCCAUCCUGGGGACAGGCUUCUACAGCAGUCAAGCUGACAGUGACCACCAGUCACUGCCAGGCUCCCUGCUUCUCCCACUGCUUAUUUCCAAAGGUUACGCCCCAGUGGGUUUUAGCACAGCUCCGAUGUGUAAUUCUAAUUCCCUUGGAAAUAGGGCUAAUUAGAGCAUUUGUCAUUGCUGGCUGUGAGGAUUAUCAGCCCCGAUGAAGAUUCAUGGCCUGAGCCAUUUUAGCCUCCUAAGGCAGGAUCUAGGCUCUGGAGCUGAGCUGGGAUAUUUGCACAGAGAGGGUAUGGAGUGGGGGAGGGGGCUGAGUGUUCUCGGUUAAAAAUACCUCAGAUAUUUCUUUUUUUCCUUUUUUUUUCUAAAUCUGAAGGAGAGAGGAAAAAAAAAAAACAGUGCAUAUUCUGCUGUAACUUCAGGUUGCCUGGGAUGAAAAAAAAAAGUAAAAAGCAAUAAAGCAUUUGUUUGAAGGGGGAAGUGCUUUCCUUUUCGCACUGUGGGUCAGGCCUGCCACCCUGAUGCUUCUUUGGGAUGGAGAAUGCUUUGAUUUCUUGGGGUCAGCUAGAGGCUGGCAGUUCCUGCUGGGAACACACAUCUGCUUCCCCAGACUGAGAGACACACAGGCUACCUGGAGAGGGACACUGGCUCCGUCUGAUUGAAAUCACCCUUGGAGAAGUUUGUUGUUGAGAUUGGAGCUCAGUGAAGCAGCCAUGGACGUUUGCCACAGAGACACUUUAGCCCAUCAUGUGACAGACUCUGUGCCAGGUACCAGGUGCACCGGUGGCAACCUAAACCCACUGCCGCCAUUGGUACCCUGAAAAUAAAGGCACGCAUCAUUGCAGCAGUCAGCAAGUAAAUGUGGUGUCACCCACAUGAUCAACACUCCAGAGGCUCGGAAGAUGUCAGUCAAUACAGUUCUUGAAAAACCUCAGAGAUAAGAGAUGGGGCGAAGGAUGAGGAGCCUCAGGUCUGUGGGUGGUGAAUGGCAUAGGUUGGAUCUCAGUAUGUCUCGUGAAAAUUCAUUAUGUGAUAUGGAGCCUCUUCUUCAAAAUACCGUAAGCGUGGUCUGGAUUUUUUUCUUAAGCCCUCCAACUGAUAUGGAGCAAGACAGUCAGACACCUUCACCUGAACCAGAUCCGUCUCCCUCAUCCCCAAUGACACCAUGGGUCCUCACCAGUGUGUGUGGAGCAAGGUAAUUUCUUCCUAAGGGCACUUCUAUUGGUAAUUUCAAACUGCAAGAGGACAAGGAGCUCCAAGGAUGGAGACAGUUUGGUCUACCUGGCUGGAAGAGACGUCCCUGCAUCCAAGCAAAGUGAACCCGUGAUGAGGAAAGGAAAAUGGGGAAAAAAAUGAUCACAUGUAUGCAGUAUAAAGUUUGUACAAUAAAAAAAUAAUGUCUUUAUAAAUUUA